CCAGGUCCCUGAGCAGGUGGAGCCAGUGCUUAGACACAGGCUCUGGACUCUGAGUCGUGUGUCCCACCACUGUCCUGUUUCCCAUGUGGAAAGAGGCCUUGCCCCCACCCCAGGGGGGGCUGCCUCUUCUCCUCUCUUUGGGGUGUGUAAUGAGUGUAUCUGUGUGCACAUGCACAGACCUUUCCUGGUUUCUGGACGCCUCCCUCCAAAUCCUCUCUGCUUCACGAAAACCCAGAGAAAAUCGCCACCGAUUCCAGGAACACUAUCAGAAAACCCUCGUUCCCACCUCUUCCAACUCUGCCCUGCUCCAGAGAGUGACGUGUGCCAGGCCUGGAGAUCUCUCUGCAUCCAAGUUUUGUCCAAGGACUGAAUUUACAUGCAUGGAGUCUGAAAGAAGAGUUUUGUCAGAGUGGUUUGGGAACACCCGUCUGAGUAGCUUACAGAUGAGGGGUCGUGGAGGCAACAGCACCCCCAGGAGACCCCCUGCCCCGGGAAGCGGCCCCUCCCUCGCCAGCUUGGGGGAACGGGCAGUGGGCCCGCUGCUCCGCUGAUCCUGAGCCAGCCUGCGGGCCUGUGUUAUGUUCUCAUCAGGCUCCUUAAAGGAAACAGACGUCAGGAGCCUCUUUUGAUUGCCCUUGACACAGAGAAGACGUGCCCUAAGUUGUUUGGUGUUUGUGAACAGUGGUAGAUCUGAGUUUGU